CCUACGGGUGGCAGCAGUGAGGAAUAUUGGUCAAUGGACGAGAGUCUGAACCAGCCAAGUCGCGUGAAGGAUGACUGCCCUAUGGGUUGUAAACUUCUUUUAUAUGGGAAUAAAAUGUUCCACGUGUGGGAUUUUGUAUGUACCAUAUGAAUAAGGAUCGGCUAACUCCGUGCCAGCAGCCGCGGUUAUACGGAGGAUCCGAGCGUUAUCCGGAUUUAUUGGGUUUAAAGGGAGCGUAGGUGGAUUGUUAAGUCAGUUGUGAAAGUUUGCGGCGCAACCGUAAAAUUGCAGUUGAAACUGGCAGUCUUGAGUACAGUAGAGGUGGGCGGAAUGCGUGGUGUAGCGGUGAAAUGCGUAGAUAUCACGAAGAACUCCGAUUGCGAAGGCAGUUCACUGGACUGCAACUGACACUGAGGCUCGAAAGUGUGGGUAUCAAACAGGAUUAGAUACCCCAGUAGUC
rnacentral:rRNA from 1 species